GAUACAUACAAUGGACUGGUAGGGGUUGUUAGUGUGAGAACAAACGACGCAACUGCAUCCCCAAAUUCCUCUUUCUUGGUCUCCUCUAAAUGCUAAUGUCCUAUCACUUUUCUCUCCCACUCAACAAGCAAUAGAGAAGGCAAAUGGAAAGCAAGAGAAAUGUAAAAAAACAGUAAAAACACUCCUUUAUUUGAAAGCAGCAUGUAAAAAUAGAGACCUAAGUCUUCCAAUGUGACAGACUGGUGUUGAUAGGACAUAAAAAGAAUGAAGGCAGAUGGCCUAAAGUGAUGACCCUUUGUUUGAGAUAACAAGGAGCCUGAAAGGGAGGAAGAAUAUAGCCCAGAGUGGAGGUGAGGGGCUGAAGAGCAAAGAGCAGGAAGCGUGACAUUACAGAUAGGGGUCAAAUGUCCAGAGGAAACCUGUGAGAUAAGGAGACCCCAGUCAAAGGAUCUUCAAGUGGAGAAAGCUAAAUGGACAGCUCUCAGCAUGGGCCUAAUAGGUUCCUGUUCUCACAUACAGAGUGUUGGUGGGAGGUUGUCACUGUGGCUCAGAUAAUUUGCAAACACACAAGGAAAUUGUCUUGGCAUAGCAGAACAAAGCUGACUCAAUCAAACGAGAACAAUUUCCCCCUAUAGACUGGCUGCCUUACUAUGCAGAUUUUGAGUUUUGUGUGUGUAUGGCUUUUUUUUUUAAAUGUCACUUAAAAUGAGUGUAAUGAAUUCUAAAAUAAUUUAUCUGAUCAUUUUUAUAACACUGAGAACCUAAGAUAUACAAAUAAAAAUUAUUGAAUCCACUUAGAAAUGUUCUCUAGAGAUAUUAGAUACUUUGAAUAUUUUCAUAGCUGUCUUUCUUUUAAUCAUAUUCAUUUAGUGCGUAGAUCACUUUUAGAAAGAAAAAUAACAAUAGGAAAGGUUGGUUUUGUUUUAAAAUUAAAUAGAGUUCAUUCUAAAUAAACAGGAAAUCAGAUUCAUUACUUUGGCUUUACAGCAACAUCUAUCCACAUUCUGACUGACAUUUUUAACAUGCUUCAAAUUCAUUUUUAAGUACCUUGUUGAAUAAUCUCCACAUGGAUAUUACUUGAUUUCCUAUUCUAAUCCUUUCAUGGAAUAUGUCUCUAUUCUUUUGUCUUUGGUAGUAGAAUCAGAAGCCAUUAAUCACAACAGCCAAUAAAAAUUGACAAAGAACUUUAAGUGAAUUGGUCAAUUUCUGAUAAGGUUAUAGAUAAACUGUACAUCAUAAAUCAAAGCAAGGAAGAGGCCUUUGUUACAGUUUCACCCCUUCGUAAUAAGAGUUUCUUUGAACUUAUGCUGCUGAGUGGGAAGAACAGGAGAGAGUGCUGACUAUCUUUAAAACACAUCAAAGCACUAGAGGCUAGAAGGAUGUUUAUACCAGGUUGAAUGGGAGCUGGGCCGCAUCUUUCAGUGUAGACAUCCAUUUAUCUCUGAAUAACAGAAAGGUUCUCUGGUCACCACUAGGACUCAGAACCAGAAGAUCUACACAGGGUCCAAGUUUUCUUUGUUUUGGUAUUUUUCAACCUUGAUUAUGAAGUCAUCUUUUUCUCAAAAUCAUUUUGUAUUAUGGAGAAAAAAAUGUUAUGAAUACCAGGUCCAGAAAAAUCCUGAAAAAGAAAGAAAGAAAGAAAG
rnacentral:lncRNA from 1 species